rnacentral:rRNA from 1 species
GACGAACGCUGGCGGCGUGCUUAACACAUGCAAGUCGAACGGAAAGGCCCUGCUUUCAGGGUACUCGAGUGGCGAACGGGUGAGUAACACGUGGGUGAUCUGCCCUGCACUUCGGGAUAAGCUUGGUAAACUGGGUCUAAUACCGGCUAGGAGACAUCUUUAGUGUGGUGGUUGGAAAGUUUUUUCGGUGUAGGAUGAGCUCGCGGCCUAUAAGCUUGUUGGUGGGGUAAUGGCCUACCAGGGCGGCGAAGGGUAGCCGGCCUGAGAGGGUGUACGGCCACAUUGGGACUGUGAGACAGCCAAGACUCGUACGGGAGGCAGCAGUGGGGAAUGUUGCACAGUGGGCGCAAGCGUGAUGGAGCGAGGCCGCGUGGGGGAUGAAGGCCGUCGGGUUGUAAGCUCCUUUCGGUAGGGACGAAGCUUUUUUGUGACGGUACCUAGAUAGAAAGCACCGGCUAACUACGUG